ensembl:snRNA U2 U2 spliceosomal RNA
AAUGUUUCUCAGCCUUUUGGCUAAGAUCAAGUAUAAUAUCUGUUCUUAUCAGUUUACUAUCUGACAUGUCCUGUAUCUGAAGACAAUAUAUUACAUGGAUUUUUGGAGCAGGGAGGUGGAAAAGGAGCUGGCUCUGUCCACUUCACUCAUCGACCUGUAUCGCAGUACUUCUAGGAUGGUGCACCCUCU